rnacentral:lncRNA from 1 species
AAAGAAUAUCUGCUUCUGGGGGAUGGAUUGCCAUUUUGAAAAAGGAAUGAGAAAUCAGUCACAAAUUUCAUCUCACUGGAGGCAGUUAAGGAAAACUAAGCAUUUGGAGAGCAUGUGCAUUCUUUCAAGGUUUCCCUCAACUGACCAUGCACAUUUUCUUAAAAGGGGAAAACACGAUCAGUACAGCUUGCAGAUAUAA